UAAGUUGACUGCCGGUGACAAACCGGAGGAAGGUGGGGAUGACGUCAAAUCAUCAUGCCCCUUAUGAUUUGGGCUACACACGUGCUACAAUGGACAAUACAAAGGGCAGCGAAACCGCGAGGUCAAGCAAAUCCCAUAAAGUUGUUCUCAGUUCGGAUUGUAGUCUGCAACUCGACUACAUGAAGCUGGAAUCGCUAGUAAUCGUAGAUCAGCAUGCUACGGUGAAUACGUUCCCGGGUCUUGUACACACCGCCCGUCACACCACGAGAGUUUGUAACACCCGAAGCCGGUGGAGUAACCUUUUAGGAGCUAGCCGUCGAAGGUGGGACAAAUGAUUGGGGUGAAGUCGUAACAAGGUAGCCGUAUCGGAAGGUGCGGCUGGAUCACCUCCUUUCUAAGGA
rnacentral:rRNA from 1 species